rnacentral:tRNA from 1 species
AGCUCAGUGGUCUAGGGGUAUGAUUCCUGCUUUGGGUGCAGGAGGUCCCGGGUUCAAAUCCCGGCUGAGCCC